UCCAAUAUCUUUUGAGAGUCAGGAAGGGACUUGGAAACACUUUCUUUCUUCAAGCACCUCCUAAUCCACGCCAUCAGUUUCGGACACUCUUCCUCAAACUUGAAGUUGCCAAAUGUUUCGUAAGUAAGAAACCAGCUAUAGAAGGUGACAAGGGCUAUAUCUACAUAACCAAAAGUAUCACCACCAUAGAAACAUUUGUCCCCAAGUUCAUCUUCCAAAACCUUCAGAUUCUCGAUCAGUUCUUUCUUACCAGCCUCCCUUUCUUCGCCAUCUAGUGCCCAAGAUUUCCUCCCAGCAUCAUAUAUCUGCAUUAAUUUCAAAUCUCAACCAUGUUAAGAUAAUAAUUGCAUCUAUAGAGAAACAUCAUAAGUAAAUAUGAUCUGCACGCAGGGGCGGAUCUAGAAACAAAAUCUAGAGGGGCAUCAAGCAAAUUAUCGGAAAAUAAUUAUAUAUUAUUAAAUUUUGGGAGGUCACUUCUUUAAUUUUUUUAAAAUUUAAAAUGGUGAAAAAAUGUUAAAAAAAAUAAAUUUAGGGGGGACACGUGUCUCCGUGCCUUUUACUAGAUCCGUUCCUGUGUGCACGCACCUUCUUGUCGAUAUAGUCAACCCAGAACCUAGCUUGAGCUUUCUGAUAAAGAUCAGAAGGGAGCAGAGGAGCUUUAUCAUUCCAGACUUCAUCAAUGUACUGCACAAUAUUAGAAGACUCACAGAUCGGUCUGCCAUUGUGGAUAAGAACCGGGAUAUUUUGGUGAACAGGGUUCAUCUCGAGAAGCAGCUGGCUCUUGUGAUCCUUCCUCAAAUCUUGUUCUUUGUAUUCAUACACUACACCCUUUUCAGCUAGGGCAACUCUCACUCUCGUACCCAUCAUACUUGCCCAAAAAUCCAACAAAAUAACCUCAUCAUCUGCCAUCUCAAACACAAAAAAAUGAUUACCAAAUAUUGUACUUCAACUCUUGUAAACUUCUAUGUAUACAUCUAUUCUUAGGAUAAGUAUAGUCCAGUAUUUUACUAGUAGCAAGUAGGGGUGAUCACAGUCUGGUUUAAACCGCAAAAUCCGUAAAAACUAAUCCGAUAUUAAUCCGAUCCAAACCGAAACCGAUAUGAGGUUUACGGUUUCGGUUCGACUAAUUUAAAAAACCGUGGUUUGUGGGUUGGUUUCGGUUUUAUAUUUAACCAACCCGUUAUAAAACCGAACCACAUAUUUAUAUAUACACAAUAUAAAUAUUUAAUAUUAAAUAUAUACAAAAUAUUAAUUUUAUAUAAAUAUACUAAUUUUUAGUUUAUAUUUGCUGGGUUGUUUAGUUACUUACCUUAUCAAUACCAACUACAAGUCUACAAGUUAAAUCAAGUCAGUAAUCCACGACUUCGAUUCAAGUUUAUGCAUUUUAUUAGACUAAAAUUUGUAUUUUAAUUUAACUAUGUGAAAUUGUGUAAAUGGAGACAAAAUGAUACUUUAUUUUCCAGUAUUAUUCAUGAAUCCUCUUAUCUGAUUAUAAGUCUUAGUCACAAACCGAUCAAUCCGCUUAACCGAACCAUCAAAAACCGCACCGCUUGGUCCGGGUUAGUUGGUUUGCGGGUCAUGGGUUGGUUUGAGAUUUUAAAAAACCGCUAAUAUAUGGUUUGGUUCCGGUUCUACCUUCAAUCCGAACCAAACCGGACCGCGAUCACCCCUAGUAGCAAGUCAACGGUUGGUACAUGGAAUAAAAAAAAAGACUCAAGAGCAUCAUCAACCAGUCUCAGAUUUAAGACAAAAUUGCUCAUGUGAUCAAAUCAUCACAGAGUCUAAUAAUUUAUUCUCUCUCUUUAAUUGUAUUUCUUAACCACUCCCACUGUAAAAUUUGCUACCAAACGCAAAAUUGCAAAAUAUUUAUACAAUAUAGCUUUUUUUAUAUAAACUCACUUAAAAAAAUCGAAUCAGGAAUAACGGAGAAUAAACCCUUAAUUACUGAAUAUCAAAUCGUGCUCACGUAUUUAAUUAAUUUAGUCUAAGAUUAAUAUGAGCAAUAUAAUGAUAUCAUUUGUUAAUUGUAUUUUUUGGCCACAUAGUUGGCUAUUUUAUAAAUUAAUUUUAAUAUUAAAUUUAACAAAUACUAGUAUGAAUAUUCCCUCAAUUCUAAUAUAAUAGUCGUAUUGAUUUUUGCAUGUACUUUAACAUGUAAAAACCAUAUAUCUACAAAUUAUUUUUUCAAUUUUUUUCUGAAGACAAAUAUAAAUGUUAAAACAAUUUAUUCAAGAAAAAAAAAUCUAGAAAAAAUUGUAUAAAAAUAUAUUUGUUAAAUUUAAAAAUACUAGUGAAAAAUCAAAUCGAUUAUUAUUUUGAAUUAAUGAAUGAAACAUAUAAGAAAUUAUAUGUCUUCGGUGAUAUAUAAACUUUUUCUCAAUUCGGGGGAGGAUAUUAAAAGUGAUAAUUUUGAUUUACUUGAUUAUUUUGACCCCACUCAUUUAUUUAUUAGAAGAGUAAAUAACAUUGUUAUUUAAUGUCAUAUUUUGUCCCUAUGUAUAUCUUUAAUACUACAAGACAAGUUAGCACCUUGAGAGAUGCUUUAAAGUUUGAAUUGCUGAAAGAUGCUCUGUGAUAAAAAUGACCAAGUGGUAUGCGCACCCUGCACACCUCGAUUAUGUUUUAUAUCAAAUGAUUUGUAUUUCAUUUCAACCAAAUAUCUUAUCAGAAAUUAUUUAAUACAAAACAAAUUUACCAUGUGCAUAAAUAUAUUUAAUAUAUAUAUAUAUAUAUAUAUAUAUAUCUAUCAGUACCUUUAAAAUAAUUAGUUAUGUUUUCAAGUUACGUUACUGCUGCCAUGCUGCGUUUAUAAUUUGCUAAAAAAAUGCAAGUGUCACGAAACUAUAUCAUGAUAAAAAUUUUAGGUGUCAGAGCAUAUAUAUAGCGGUGUGAGAUUUCUUAAAUAUAUACUAAAUAAUUAAAAUUUUAAAAAAAUUGUAAUUUAUAUUGAAUGACAAUUCUAACGAUCAUCUCUAUUUGUAUUCAUUAUUAUUGUUAUAAUAUUAAAUAUGAAAACAAAUGUGCAAAAAAUGAGAAACUAAUAUCUAAUUAUUAAAAAUCAAUUGAGAAAUGACUUAAUUAUUAGAACAGCUUCUGUAGUAUCCUAGUAAUUUUUUUAAAGAAUAAGACAUUCAAAGCGAAUCUUAACUUUAUUAUUAUUAUUACUACCAGAGCUCCACAGGGAAUGUUUCGUGCAGUCUAUUCUCUAGCAGAAAUCUUUAUUUCUCACAUUUAGCCAUCCAACCAGGCACCUGGUUUGAUCCCAAAUGAUGAAUCAUGGCUUUGCUUAAUCCACCUAAGCUAUGUUCUUAAAGUAAAUGGAGGGAUUACCCUAGUGAGCUUAUAAUUAAUUAAUAGAAAUUAUUACAGUUCAAAUAGUUCUAGUUUCCGAGAUUGUUGAAAGGUUCACAACAUGACAAGACAAACACAGUUUCACAAGAGAUCUACUACAUAUAUGAGCAAGUGCAUAAACAUUGUAAAAUGAAAGCACUUGUGGUGCAGCCUCUUCAACAUAUAUGAAAGUGUACUGAAAUGCAUCAUUUCUUCUCUCUUAAGGGCAUAUAACGUGAAACUGUGAAAGUGAUGGUUGCUACUAGAAAAUCUUAGCACUUGCAGUGCAUAAAUGUUUUGCUGAAGGCAUUGAAAAUGAUUAUUGGUACUAGAAUAUCACGACACUUCUGGUACAUAAAAGAAACAGGACAUUUAACAGAAAGUAUCUCCCAAGAGCAAUGAAGAAACAACCAUGGACUCGACGAAACAAGGACUAGCCAGAUUUUGUAAAGUAGGUCUCUUUCAUGAACACAGCAAAAUCCAAUAUCUUUUGAGAGUCAGGAAGGGACUUGGAAACACUUUCUUUCUUCAAGCACCUCCUAAUCCACGCCAUCAGUUUCGGACACUCUUCCUCAAACUUGAAGUUGCCAAAUGUUUCGUAAGUAAGAAACCAGCUAUAGAAGGUGACAAGGGCUAUAUCUACAUAACCAAAAGUAUCACCACCAUAGAAACAUUUGUCCCCAAGUUCACCUUCCAACACCUUCAAAUUCUCGAUCAGUUCCUUCUUACCAGCCUCCUUUUCUUCGCCAUCUGCUGCCCAAGAUUUCC
rnacentral:lncRNA from 1 species